rnacentral:rRNA from 1 species
GAGUUUUGAUCAUGGCUCAGGAUGAACGCUAGCUACAGGCUUAACACAUGCAAGUCGAGGGGAAACGACAUCGAAAGCUUGCUUUUGAUGGGCGUCGACCGGCGCACGGGUGAGUAACGCGUAUCCAACCUGCCCAUCACUUGGGGAUAACCUUGCGAAAGUAAGACUAAUACCCAAUGACGUCUCUAGAAGACAUCUGAAAGAGAUUAAAGAUUUAUCGGUGAUGGAUGGGGAUGCGUCUGAUUAGCUUGGUUGGCGGGGUAACGGCCACCAAGGCUACGAUCAGUAGGGGUUCUGAGAGGAAGGUCCCCCACAUUGGAACUGAGACACGGUCCAAACUCCUACGGGAGGCA